rnacentral:rRNA from 1 species
UACGAAGGGUGCUAGCGUUGUUCGGAAUCACUGGGCGUAAAGCGCGCGUAGGCGGCUUUUCAAGUCAGGGGUGAAAUCCCACAGCUUAACUGUGGAACUGCCUUUGAAACUGGAAAGCUGGAGUGUCGGAGGGGAUAGCGGAAUUGCUAAUGUAGAGGUGAAAUUCGUAGAUAUUAGCAGGAACACCGGUGGCGAAGGCGGCUAUCUGGACGACAACUGACGCUGAGGCGCGAAAGCGUGGGGAUCAAACAGG